rnacentral:rRNA from 1 species
AUACGUAGGGUGCAAGCGUUAAUCGGAAUUACUGGGCGUAAAGCGUGCGCAGGCGGUUUUUUAAGACAGAGGGGAAAUCCCCGGGCUCAACCUGGGAACUGCCUUUGUGACUGCAAGGCUAGAGUACGGCAGAGGGGGAUGGAAUUCCGCGUGUAGCAGUGAAAUGCGUAGAUAUGCGGAGGAACACCGAUGGCGAAGGCAAUCCCCUGGGCCUGUACUGACGCUCAUGCACGAAAGCGUGGGGAGCAAACAGGAUUAGAUACCCUGGUAGUCCACGCCCUAAACGAUGUCAACUGGUUGUUGGGUCUUCAUUGACUCAGUAACGAAGCUAACGCGUGAAGUUGACCGCCUGGGGAGUACGGCCGCAAGGUUAAAACUCAAAUGAAUCGACGGGG